rnacentral:rRNA from 1 species
GGAAUAUUGGUCAAUGGGCGGGAGCCUGAACCAGCCAAGUCGCGUGGGGGAUGACGGCCCUUGUGGUUGUAAACCCCUUUUGUCGGGGAGUAACCGGCGCCACGUGUGGCGUCCUGAGAGUACCCGUCGAAUAAGCAUCGGCUAACUCCGUGCCAGCAGCCGCGGUAAUACGGAGGAUGCGAGCGUUAUCCGGAUUUAUUGGGUUUAAAGGGUGCGCAGGCGGCGCUUCAAGUCAGCGGUAAAAUUUCGGGGCUCAACCCCGUCGUGCCGUUGAGACUGUCGCGCUGGAGUGCGCCGGACGGUGGCGGAAUGCGCGGUGUAGCGGUGAAAUGCAUAGAUAUCACGCAGAACUCCGAUUGCGAAGGCAGCUGCCGACGGUGUUACUGACGCUCAUGCACGAAAGCGUGGGUAUCGAACA